rnacentral:rRNA from 1 species
UGGCGAAGGCGGCUCUGGACGAGACUGACGCUCAGGUGCGAAAGCGUGGGGAGCAAACAGGAUUAGAUACCUGGUAGUCACGCUGUAAACGAUGUCGAUUUGGAGGUUGUGCCCUUGAGGCGUGGCUUCCGGAGCUAACGCGUUAAAUCGACCGCCUGGGGAGUACGGCCGCAAGGUUAAAACUCAAAUGAAUUGACGGGGGCCCGCACAAGCGGUGGAGCAUGUGGUUUAAUUCGAUGCAACGCGAAGAACCUUACCUACUCUUGACAUCCAGAGAACUUUCCAGAGAUGGAUUGGUGCCUUCGGGAACUCUGAGACAGGUGCUGCAUGGCUGUCGUCAGCUCGUGUUGUGAAAUGUUGGGUUAAGUCCCGCAACGAGCGCAACCCUUAUCCUUUGUUGCCAGCGGUUCGGCCGGGAACUCAAAGGAGACUGCCAGUGAUAAACUGGAGGAAGGUGGGGAUGACGUCAAGUCAUCAUGGCCCUUACGAGUAGGGCUACACACGUGCUACAAUGGCGUAUACAAAGAGAAGCGACCUCGCGAGAGCAAGCGGACCUCAUAAAGUACGUCGUAGUCCGGAUUGGAGUCUGCAACUCGACUCCAUGAAGUCGGAAUCGCUAGUAAUCGUAGAUCAGAAUGCUACGGUGAAUACGUUCCCGGGCCUUGUACACACCGCCCGUCACACCAUGGGAGUGGGUUGCAAAAGAAGUAGGUAGCUUAACCUUCGGGAGGGCGCUUACCACUUUGUGAUUCAUGACUGGGGUGAAGUCGUAACAAGGUAACCA